rnacentral:rRNA from 1 species
GAUGAACGCUGGCGGCGUGCCUAAUACAUGCAAGUCGAGCGAACAGACGAGGAGCUUGCUCCGCUGACGUUAGCGGCGGACGGGUGAGUAACACGUGGAUAACCUACCUAUAAGACUGGGAUAACUUCGGGAAACCGGAGCUAAUACCGGAGAAGAUAUUGAACCGCAUGGUUGAAUAGUGAAAGACGGUUUUGCUGUCACUUAUAGAUGGAUCCGCGCCGCAUUAGCUAGUUGGUAAGGUAACGGCUUACCAAGGCAACGAUGCGUAGCCGACCUGAGAGGGUGAUCGGCCACACUGGAGCUGGGCCACGGUCCAGACUCCUACGGGAGGCAGCAGUAGGGAAUCGUCCGCAAUGGGCGAAAGCUUGACGGAGCAACGCCGCGUGAGUGAUGAAGGUCUUCGGAUCGUAAAACUCUGUUAUUAGGGAAGAACAAAUGUGUAAGUAACUAUGCACGUCUUGACGGUACCUAAUCAGAAAGCCACGGCUAAUUACGUG